rnacentral:lncRNA from 1 species
UGAGGAUAAAAAGAAAAGUAGAGUUGUUUGCAAUCUGAUUUGCGCUGGGUUUUGGAACCAGCAAUUGGCCACAGGCACACACACCCCCAAUCAGAGGCGCGCACCCCGCUCGCUCCCGGAACUGUCAUGCGGGCUGACAGCUGGCACACCCUCCUGUCGCCCUCCACCCGCCUGCAGAAAGCCCACUCCCUACAGUCACCUUGACAUUGCUCACCUGCCUGGGCCUCAGCCCAUGACCAAGGAAACUUUUGCCCUCCCUCCCCAGGAGCUCACUUACAGGCCAUCUUCAAAGGUACUGCCUACCUGAACCUGCCUUGUCCCAAAGGACACACUUCAAUCUGGGGAGAGUUUAAAGUUGUAGACAUAUCCAUUUUCAUUUAAGGAAUAUGAAGAUCAGGGAGGCAAAAUAUAGAGAUAUAGAGAGGAAAAACUGAGAGAUGAUCAGAAAUUCAGACGCAUUCGGAAUGAGCACCCUUGACCAUACCAAGAACAAAGACUCUAUAAAAAUGUGAAGUCUUAUUAUUGUUCAUCCAUGUUCUACGUGGGAUCCACCCAAGACAUUGAAAACUGUACAGAACAGGGUGAAAUUGAAUCAGAUCAUUCUGUACUCCUAACAAGGUCCACCCCAUGAGAGACUUGCAGCAGAAUUAAUGACACUGUAUAUUUUCCUCUACUAACAACAACAAGAACAACAACAACAACAAUCUAGGAAAAUCAAAGGCAGCCCGACAUGGAAAAAAACACAAAAUGAAUAUUUGGAUUACAAAUAGUGUGAUGGGAAGAACACACUGCCAAAAGUCCACCUAGUAUGUUGAAAUUACUGUUUCUAGCACAUAUAAGAUGAGGAAAAGGAAGAUCAAAAAGGUCAUAUCAUUUGCUUACAUAAACAGUGAUGAAAUUCAGAUUCAACCUUGGAACUUUGGAUCUCAUGCCCUGUCACAAACGGGACUUAGGAAACCAACUGGCUUUCAUCUAGAUUUGCUGCCAAUUUGUACUGACUUCUGAAAAAUACUUUAUCCAUUGUCUUCUUACAUCAGAAUCAACUCCCUAAAUUCUUCAGCACUGGCUUUGUAAACUGGUUUCUGGUCUUUGUUUCUGGUGAAUAACAAUAAGGCAAUGUAGAAGAAAGCAAGUCCCAUCAAAGGGAGCUCCAGUCUCUAUAGACUGAUAAAAAGGAGCCUCAGAACUUAAACCUCUGGAUCAGGAGAAUCAAAAAACAUCAUGCCUCUCUAUGAUACCCGCCCAAACUCUUUCAGCUAAACAGAAGCACUUUCAAAUAUACAAUUCCGGCAGAGUCUGCAUUUUUGUUGUAAGAGCCUCAUGUUUUUAGUCAGACACAUCCGGGAGUUGAGUGCUUUGGAUGACACAAAACAAAGGCUCCAUGUUGCCUGUCACACCACAAGCUAUUAAUGACAAGCAGAUCUGACCUCUUCCCCCAGCUCCUGCAUCCACUGAAGGCUCUGUCACUUCCUCACUCUCAGCUCACUUGUAUUCUGAUUCUGUUCUAUAGACAAAACCUUGGUUUACAUUAAUAUAUAAAGCUGCUCAGGAGAAUCCUUCUUAGGAAUCACUCUGAACAUUAAAACUGAUUCAUUUAAAAACGCACACCCACACAAAUGGGAAAAGCAGUCUUCGCUUGCGGAUUGGAAGAAUCAAUAUCAUUAAAAGAACUAUACUACCCAAAGCAAUCUACAGAUUCAACACUAUUCCUAUCCAACAUCAUUUUUUAAAUUUAGAAAAAAACUAUUAUGAAAUUCGUAUGGAAUGAGAAAAGCCCCAUUAGCUAAAACAACCCUGAAUAAAAAGAACAAAGCCAGAGGCAUCACAUUAUCUGACUUCAAACUAUAUUAUGAGGCUACAGUAACCAAAGAAGCAUCAUACUAGUACACAAACAGACACAUAGACCAAUGGAACAGAAUAGAGAAUCCAGAAAUAAAGCCACACACCUACAACCAUCUGGUCUUUGACAAAGUCGACAAAAAUAAGCAAUGGGGAGAGGAUUCCCUAGCCAAUAAGUGGUGCUGAGAUAACUGGCUAACCAUAUGCAGAAGAAUGAAACUAGACCCCUACCUUUUUCCAUAUACAAAAACUAACUUGAGAUGGAUUAGAGAUUUAAAUGUAAGACCUCAAACUAUAAAAAUCCUAGAGAAAACCUAGGAAAUACCCUUCCCGACAUUGGCCUUGGCGAGGAAUUUAUGGCUAAGGCCUCAAAAGCAAUCACAACAAAAACAAAGACUGACAAGUGGGACCUAAUUAAACUAAAAAGCUUCAGCACAGCAAAAGAAACUAUCAACAGAAUAAACAGACAACCUACAGAAUGGGAGAAGAUAUUUACAAACUCUGUAUAUGACAAAGUUCCAAUAUCCAGAAUCUGUAAGGAACUUAAUUUGACAAGCAAAAACCAAAUAACUCCAUUAAAAGGUGGGCAAAGGAUAUGAACAGACAUUUCCCAAAAGAAGAAGACAAACAAAUAGCCAAUGAACAUAUGAAGAAAUGCUCAACAUUACUAAUUAUCAGAGAAAUGCAAAUCAAAACCACAAUGAGAUACCAUCUCACACUAGUAGAAAUAGCGAUAAUUAAAAAGUAAAAACAAACAACAAACAAAAAACAGAUGCUUCCAGCCUGGGCAACGUAACUGGGACCCCAUCUCUACAAAAUAAAAAAAAAAUUAGCCACGCGUGGUGGUGCACACCUGUAGUCCCAGUUACUUAGGAGGCUGAGGUAGGAGGAUUGCUUGAGCCUAGAAGGUCAAAGUUGCAGUGAGCCAUGAUUGCACCACUGCACUCCAGCCUGGAUGAGAGAGCAAGACCCUGUCUUGAAAAAUAAAAAAAAAAAACAAAUGUUAGUGGGGCUGUGGAGAAAAGGGAACACUUAUACACUAUUGGUGGGAAUGUGAAUUAGUGCAGCCACUGUGGAAAGCAGUUUGGAGAUAUUUCAAAUAAAUUAAAACAGAACUACCAUUCAACCAAGGAGUCCCGUUACUGGGUACACACCCAGAGGAAAAUAAAUCACUCUACAAAAAAGUCACAUGCACUUGUAUGUUCACUGCAGCAGUACUCACAAUAGCCAAGACGUAAAAUCAACCUAGGUGCCCAUCAACAGUGGAUUGCAUAAAGAAAAUAUGGUACAUAUACACCAUGAAAUCCUAUGCAGCCAUAAAAAAGAAUGAAAUCAUGUCCUUUGCAGCUACAUGGAUGCAGCUUGGAGGCCAUUAUCCUAAGCAAAUUAACACAGGAACAGAAAAGCAAAUGCCAUAUGUUCUCACAUAUAAGUAGGAGCUAAACAUUGGGUACAUGUGGAUAUAAAGAUGGGAACAACAGACACUGGAACUGGGAAUACAGACUACUAAAGAAUGGAAAGAAGGAGGGGGCAAAGGUUGAAAAAAUACCUAUUGGGUUCUCUGCUCACUACCAUAGUAAUGACGGGAU